rnacentral:rRNA from 1 species
CACGUAGGGGGCAAGCGUUGUCCGGAUUUAUUGGGCGUAAAGAGCUCGUAGGCGGCUCGUUAAGUUGGUUGUUAAACCCCCAGGCUUAACCUGGGGACGCCACCCGAUACUGCCGUGGCUAGAGUCCGGUAGGGGAGCGUGGAAUUCCUGGUGUAGCGGUGAAAUGCGCAGAUAUCAGGAGGAACACCAGCGGCGAAGGCGGCGCUCUGGGCCGGAACUGACGCUGAGGAGCGAAAGCGUGGGUAGCAAACAGG